UACGUAGGGUGCAAGCGUUGUCCGGAAUCAUUGGGCGUAAAGAGCGUGUAGGCGGUCCGGUAAGUCCGCUGUGAAAGUCGGGGGCUCAACCCUCGAAUGCCGGUGGAUACUGUCGGGCUAGAGUGCGGAAGAGGCGAGUGGAAUUCCUGGUGUAGCGGUGAAAUGACGCAGAUAUCAGGAGGAACACCUAUUGCGAAGGCAGCUCGCUGGGACGUAACUGACGCUGAGACGCGAAAGCGUGGGGAGCAAACAGG
rnacentral:rRNA from 1 species